CAAAUAUAUUCCAAAUUAUUAUAGAAAUAACCCAACAGUGAAUAAGUUUAUCCAAUUAAUGCAAAGUAAAAGUCAAUAUAUUUUGUCUAACAUUUCUCUUUUUUUAAAAGCUACCUAUAAUUUUUUUAGGUAACAGAAAGUUGAUUUAUAUAAGUUGUUAGUGUUUGUUUGUAUCUGAAAUAAUUGCAGGAGCUGUGCUCCAUACUUUGUAUCACAAAGUCUGAGCAUGUAAAUAAAUCUGAAUCUGAAUCUGAAUCUGAAUCACACACACACACACACACACACACACACACACACACACACACACACACACACACACACACACACACACACACACACACACACACACACACACACACACACAGCCUGGCGUGACCUUUUAUGCUUCCCUCAAUCACACAUCAUAAAGGUCACUUCACGUUUCCACUUUUGCAGGCCACGUUCAUGAUGUUAUCGCUGGCCUGUUAUGUUGAGAGUGACGCUGACCCUUCCCUCACUCCCCAACUCCCCAACUCACUCCCUGCACGCGCCCACUCGUCCAGUCCUUUCCCAGUGCACGCCUACACACCUGCCAAACCGCCCAGGUGUAAAGGGCAUCAGUGGUUCUGCGGCAUCAGCCCAGCCACCGAGGGCGUGUCAGUAAAGGACAGUCAGAUACCACUUGGAAUUGCUCGGAUUGUUUAAACUUUUGUAUUGUUCUUGAGCCACAACGAGCUCAUGUGUAAUGAUGCGUGUGAUUGUAAGGAUAUAUCUGCAAUCGUAAUUUAUAACUUUGUACUCACUUUGUAGUCGAUUAAUUUAUAUAUCUAUCUAUUUA